rnacentral:rRNA from 1 species
UACAGAGGGGGCAAGCGUUGUUCGGAAUUACUGGGCGUAAAGGGCGCGUAGGCGGCCUGCUAAGUCGAACGUGAAAUCCCCGGGCUCAACCCGGGAACUGCGUCCGAUACUGGCAGGCUUGAAUCCGGGAGAGGGAUGUGGAAUUCCAGGUGUAGCGGUGAAAUGCGCAGAUAUCAGGAGGAACACCGGUGGCGAAGGCGGGUCUCUGGGCCGAUACUGACGCUGAGGAGCGAAAGCGUGGGGAGCAAACAGG